rfam:Toxocara canis scaffold291, whole genome shotgun sequence.
GUGGCAGUAGCUCAAUGGUAGAGCUCCCGCUCCGCAGGCGGGGAGACCUGGGUUAGAUUCUCGGCUGUUUCC